rnacentral:lncRNA from 1 species
UUUUUUUUUUUUUUUUUUUUGGUUUUUGAAGUUGAGCUUUCCUCUUGAUGUGUUUUUUUCCCCCUUUUUUCCAUACUGCAGGCCUUUCUCAUGCUUUUUAUCAUUUUCUUACUUAUCCUGUGGUGAUUCAAACACACAUUGAACAGCAUAUGCAUCUUGUUUCAAGUGUUGUGAGAGCGUUUUAUGUGCUUGAUGUUAUUCAGUUGCUGCACUAGUGCAAUUGAUAAUUAUGUUUCCAAUUAUCUGCGCAUUCUUUUGUUCUUUUCAGCUUGUGUUGAGGAUGAAGAAAGCUGAUGAUCCUCACAGCGCAACACAGGAUCAAUGGUUGUACAGAGGAGAUUGUAGGAUCAAAAGUUAUGAUAUCAGCUCAGCUUCUAAGUCAUAAUCAUAAAGUGGACCAAAUUUUAGAGUGUCUGCCUUUGUUUUUUCAGAUUAUUAUGGUACAGCUGUAGUCUAACUACUUCGUUAAUCCAACAUUAGUACGUUGUAUGGUUGCAAGCAAAUUUGGGCCUCUUCCAUAGCUAUGUAUAUUGGUAAGGCUUUCAGCAAUCUGUUGACAAGGCAAGCUUAAUAACUGUAGUAUCUUCAGUUCUGGCAGCAUAUCCUUUGAUGUUAUUUCAGUAAAGAGCAUGUUUUUCGGCUACUUGCAGCCUUGUCAACAAAAGGGAUUUAUAAUUCAUUGAAAUUUGCCCCACUUGAGUAUGUUGACAUCAUGCAGUAUAUAUGACAAUUGUACUUUAACUGCUUUUAUGAUCAAAUGACAUCUUAAUCAACUAAAAAAUAGACGACUUCUGGCUAUCUGGAAUAGAACAUUAUUAUGAGUUCCUGCGGAACAAGGAGGUGCAUGUUCUAAGCUAAUCUUAAACUCUUGUUAAGGGUUAGAUCAAAUUGUAAAUGUUGUAUCUGUUAUCUGUUAUUUAUAGAGUUUUAAGGUUUCUUCUAUCAGAAGUUGGAGUCCAAAGUGUUGUAGCAGUGGCAUGGUCAUCUAAGUAUUACCGAGUAAUCUUAUUUGACCUUGUUACAUAUCUCAGGUACUUACUCGGAUAUAAUUUUGUUCUCUUUUGGCAAUUGCACCACAAAUCGCAACAAUUCUUUUUAGGGGAGAGGAUGCAGUACUGCCAGAAACGCUCUGCAAUUUCGCAAAGGAAUAUAAAUGUUUUUUCCGGUGAUAGUUCCUAAAAGAAUGGCAAUUAUUUUGGUCUUUUUGGCUGGAAGAAAAGGAAAAAACACGGAAGAACUGUCUCCUUUUAAAAUUCGUCUGUUGAUUUAUUCACUCAAUUAUUUAAACUCGAACUUACUAUGCAUAUGAAUCUUCCACAUGAUCAAGGAUUCUAUUAAGAAAUAAGACUACAGCCAUUUUGAAUUUCGGAUCAGUUGUAUAUGAAGACCACAGUCUUUGUCAAUGCAAAUGAAAGAUGCAUUCUUGUCAAAUUCUGGUAACGUCACGCAGUACUACUGCCACUCAAGUUUACAUGAAUUCAUUUAAUUUACCUUCCAACCAUUUACGGUACUAAAUUUCUUAGGCUGAAGGCUGGUGUGUUCACUCAAACUCAGAAUCACGUACUAGUUUUCUUUGAUUCCAAGAUCAUACCUUAAGGCGAUAGACUAUAAUAAACCCUUUCAAAAAUUUAUAUAUAACCUUCUAAACUUUAGACUAAAAUAUUAAAUUGAUGAAAAUCUUCUUCAAUAACAGAGUUAGUGCCAAAAUGAUAGUAGUCUAAAGUACCUUUAUAUCCAAAAGAGAUAAUUGAAGACAAAUGAUAUUAGUUUGGAACUUAAUCCAAAAUACAGGGCCCUUACAAUCAUUCCUGAGGAAUAAAAAACUCAUUAAAUCUCCAAAAAUGUCAUCUCGUAUAAUCUUUUUUCGGUAACUAAGUAUUUGAAAUCUACUUGAUAAAACUAGUUUUUGAAGUUAAAAAUUGUUAUUAUCAUCAUCAUCUUACUAUUGAUAAGUAUGAGCACUCUUAGGGUGUUAUGUUAUUUUAAGUUAUUCCUAAUUUAUAAUUAGUUUUAAAUAACUUAUCAUACAAUUAAUAACAACUCGCUAUUUCACUGUUACCUUUCUUUGUAUGUCCACUUUUCUCCGAUUGUCUAAAAUAUUUUAAAUUAUAAUAGUAACUAAUAAUCAUAUUAUAAAUAAUUAGUGAAUGGAAUCCUUCCAUACAUUUUUAUUUCAUAUUUAUUAUCAAAUUUAAAAUUACUUUUUGUGGAAAUAAUGUAUAUAAACAUUUAUCUAUAAGUUUACUGCAAAUAGAGUAUUUCUUACUAACUAGUUGUUGUAAAUAUUAUUGGAUUCUUCUAACGGCUAGGCCUUAACACUACCAAACUUACCAUACAAAUGCAUACAAUCAUAUUAAUUGCAUUCUCUGCGUUUAGGCUUUUCAAAAUUAAUAACCUUCCUUGUCAAAAGAAACUAACACUUGAGGACCGUCUUAACCAAACCCAAUAUCAAUCCAAUCUCACUUGUUAGCUGAACCUAAUAUCAUUAUGACAAUUCUGAAUUGCGAGUGCAUAAAACGUUUGUAGGUUAAAGAGAUUGUGCAUAGUGUGUUACAAUAUGGCAAUUCUCAUUGUUCACAUCAAAACCAAAAGCAGUAGGGCAAAAAGAGUAUUGAUAAACUGAAAAGUCAACAACUUCUUCUGUGGCUAGAUUAACAAUGCAAUAAGAAUCCAGCAGUAGGGAAAAAAGAGUAUUCAUAAGCUGGCAACUCAACAACCUCUUCUGUGGCUGGAUUAACAAUGCAAUAAGAAUCCAGGGAAUUUCCGUCUUCACUUCGACGGACCAGAAUCCAACUUUUAUGAAAACAAAGAAAUUCUUUGAUUUCUCCUACAACUUUAAAGACUACAUUUUGACUCUCAAGACAAAAAAUGUUUUGGACAACAACAUAACUUUCUUGUCCAUGAUAUGUAGGCUCAUUUUCUAGUUUCGGACCUGUUUUGUUUCGCAGUUCUAAAAAUCCAGGUACUGUCACUAAUCUAGUUGUCAUGGUUGUAGAGAUCUAGAUCUGGAAAAGCACAUAAGCAAAAGUAUAAGCAAGUUAGUUAAAUUAGUAUAGUGGUUGUCACUUCCUAGUCAAAUGGAAUUCCCGUUCCUUGGGGCACAAUUAAGACCAAGUUUAAUUAGUAUAGUGGUUGUCACUUCCUAGUCAAAUGGAAUUCCCGUUCCUUGGGGCACAAUUAAGACCAAGUUUGGGAUUACCAACUAAGCCCUUCAAUGUCUUCAAACUAACCCGAAUUUGCUUAAUUGUUGUUAAAAUUAUGGAAGUUAUACAUUAAUAUUAGGUAUAUGGUAACAAAGUAAUUGCAUAUAAACAAAGCCCACAAACCAAUACUAGCUAAACAAAAAUCGGGAAUUCUUAAAAGAAAAUCGUGGGUUUUACCAAGCACAAAUAAAAUCCAAAGAAGUUACAGUAAUAAAUGCACAAAAUGCAAGAUAGCACAGAACAAAAAAGGUCUUUGAUUCUCUAAUCCAAUAAAGAGAGAAAAUUUUUUUACCAGACUGUAGGGCGUGGGUGGGUUUGUGUAUAAGUACAACUGACUUUGUGUUGGGGAAGGGAAGAGACAAAGCGUUAAGAAAGCUUUUAUCUUCAAUGCAACAUGGGCAAGAAAAUGGUGAUGGAAGCUAGCUACAUAUGCAUAAUCUGCACCAUUUUUACAGGAUUUGGUGUUUGGUGACUGAGGAGUGGAGCUAAUCUGAGAAAUAGAGGUAGGGUUUGAUAGGGAAACAAAAAGAAAACCCUAACAAUCUUAUAGGUCACUUAGAUGGGCAAGAUCUUUUUUAGAAGUAUAUGAUGGUAGGUCGACUAUUAACAGUAGAGUUGGGCUUCAAAUCUGAAAUUGAUGUUAGGAUCGACUCUAAAGUUAUAGAAAAUUUCAGAUCUUGAUUUUGUGAUAUCGCUACAACCAUUCAGUCAUAUUGACCACCUAUCUACAAUUCUUACAAUCUGAGGACACUUAAACUCUUACUAUAUGCCAAAUGCUAGUAGUUCAUGCAAGAAUACUUAGACUAGUCUUCAGUAGAAUUUUUCAAACCAACCAUGGCUUCUUUUUGUAAGUGCAAUGUAAAACACACCAUUUAGCCAAGUGAAAGCAGCCAAAGGCCAAUCAAUAGCACCUUAGCAACUGGGGAUAUAUGAACUUUUCCCACUAACCAGGAGCUACUGCUACUGCUACUGCUUGAGAUUGGAUGUUCAUUAGAAUGCUUAUUCAAAUUCUUCUUGCAUUUAACUAGGGCUGCAAACAAACCGAGUUGAGUCAAGUUUUGGGCUAAUCGAGUCGAAUCUCGACUUAAUUUUAUCAAGCUUGAACUUGAGUUUGAAUUCGACGAGCUGCCAAUUUAAAACUUGAACUCGAGUUCGACUCAAAUUCGAGUCGAGUCGAGCUCGUGCUAAAAAACAUUAAAAAAAUUAUUUUUAUUUUUUAAAAAAUAAAUAAAAUAAUAUUUUUUCUUAAUAAAUAAUAAAAUAUUAUGGAUAUAUAUGUAAUUUUACUAUUAAAAUGAAAUAUAUAUAUAUAUACACAUACUUGAACUCGAGAUCGAGUUCGAUUUGACCAACUCGAGCUUGACUUAAGAUCGAUCAAUUGACUCGAGCGAAUCGAUUAUUUUGCAGCCUUACAUUCAGCACAUGAAUCUUCCUUUGCAACUAUAGAUGGAUGCAGUAGAGGGAAAUCAGGAUCGAAAAAGUCUUCCACUCUAUGAACAAUCACUUUCCCAUCAUUGUAGAUUUUCCAAUCCAAAAUAGUGACGUUAUUCAUACACUUUCCUAGUAUAAGGAACAACGAUUUUUACUGUAGAAGGCCCGGGAACGAAGAAUGUACGAAAAGGGGUGCCAUCAGGAGAAGAUUCAAGUGCCUACCUAUCAACUUUGAAGGGCACAACAUGAUAGUGUAGUAAUGUGGUUGCCAUUCCAAGGCGGCCUUGUUUGAUAAACCCUUCAUCUGUAGGGCAAAAGACGGUGACAACAGCGAUGUUGUGGGUUAAUUCUGAAGGUGCAGAACUUAACAGAUGAUCUAGAUAUUCUCCGACCCCAAAAAUUGCCAUGGCACCGCACCCUUUCUCUAAGAGUCUAUCAGAAAGUUUGCUAUCAAUAUUACUUAAUUUCAGGGCUGGUUGGCGAUGGCAAAACGGGUUGAAAGGUUGAGGAGACAAAGAUGAGCAAUACUAAGUGGUAUCACUAGUCUUGUGGCCAUGAUUUGCACACAAAGGGCUGCUUGAAAGCAAUUAGUUGAAUGUAAACAUAAUAAGAAAUUGAGAAUUAAACAAACUAAGAAAAUAAAAAACCUGAAAACUUAAUCUAACGACCAGAAUCAAUGAAGCAAGAUUGUACUUGCAAAGUUAUAUUGUUUCUUAGGAUGAUUUAAAGAAGCAUCUCAUGGCAUAUAUAGAGGUCAGGCUUGGGACUCUGUUGUAGGCAGCUUACAUGUGCAAAUCCUAAUAGUAAAAGGACAUUCUUGAGCCUUCAUAGCACUCUUAGUCCUAGGAUGAUCUAGAUCACACAAAUACGAUGUACAUAUCUGAAACGAACAUGGUAGAUUGCAAAAUUUUACUUCACUUGAAUCAAUUCUGGGAGUCAAUUUGUAUCCAGACUUCGAACUUGCACAUAAAAAAUGGUUGGAAAAAUGCUGCUAAGUUUUUUUUGGGCAAAUUACAUUUUAGCCCCCUGUGAUUUUCACUAAAACCACAUAACCCCCCAUGAUUCAAAAAACUAUACAUAAACCCCCUGUGAUUUGAGUUGAACUGUCAAAUAAACGGAAAGCACGAAUCGUGAUGAUUCGUGGGCAAAACGCGCUUGUUAUACUGAUAGCAGUAAGAAACAUUUCCAUAUUACCCUGACCACUUUGACGCACCCAAUAAAAUGUAUCUGUGCUCCUCAUCUCCUUCUUUGACCACUUUGGCACCUAGAUCCGUGCUCCUCAUCUCCUUCCAGCUUCCGAAAGUAAUUUGCAGCUGACUUUCCACUACCGAUUGGUGAAGGCAGUACAUUUAGUGAAGAAACCAAACCAAGAUAGAGAAUGAAGGAAAUUUGAAAGUGAGUUAAACAUCAAGGUGCAGUCUUUUCCUUUUUCCUGAAAUAUAACUUGAAUGGAUUAUUAAUUUUUUUUUUCAAUAAAUUCUAGAUGUCAUGCUCAAGCAGUGCUGGUGGAAGUACUGAAGAUCUAAAGUACCAAUACUUCCAUUGUUCAUGUGGGAGAAAAGCAGUGAUAAAAAUUGUUGAAUCCGACAAAUCUUCAAAAUGAAAGCUAUAUUUUGUUUGUGCGACAAGAACUUGUGAAUUUUUCACAUGGUACAAUCCAACAAGGAGAAUAAGACAAAAUUACACUAGUGAUUUGGAUGUUACAAGGAGAGACAUAUUUAGUGGAGGAUCAAGUAUUGAUAGUUCAAAUUUGGAAGGCUUGCGCAUUGAUGAUGGUUUAUAUUUGAGAAAAAUGAAAAACAUUGAAGAAAGCUUAGGAGUCAUGAAGAUUUGCGUGGGUGCUUGUUUUGCUAUAUUUGUGCUAUCAUUUCUUGUUUUGAUGUUUAAGUGAAAAUAUUACAUCUGAAAGUGCUGUAAAUUAUGGCUAUGAAAGUGUUGUAAAUCUGAACCUGUUGUGUUCAAUGAAUGAAUGAAUGAACCUGCUUUGGUAGUUAAUAGAUAUAAAUAAGCAAACACGAUUUCCAGUUGGUAUGAACCUGCUUUAGUACUCACAUGCUGAACUUUGGAUUCGUUUGACAAUAUAGCUGUCCAGAAGUUCACAAAAAUCUGGUAAUACAUCAACCAGUUUUUACAAAACAAAAUAAGGUACAUAAGUAGCUAAUCAAAAAGUCCAGCAGACACCAAGAUUCAACAAAAAGUGUAGCAACAGCAUAUUAACAAAAAGCAGAAGCAGACAAAUAACUUAGUUGAAUUACACUCCCACGUUUAGCUCUCUUAGCCCUCAAAUUUUAGAAACACGUUUAGCUUUCUUAGCCCUCAAAAUUUCCAAACACACUUGCAACUGUUGGUACAAGGUUUCUGACUCUAGUUGAUCUUCUAAUAUCCAAAAUGGGUUCAACAGCAGAAGCAGCUCUUCUAGUAUCCAAAACAGGUUCAUCAGUUGAUCUUCUAGUUUCAAAAACUGGUUUAGCAGCAGAAGUUGCACAAGGCUGCAUAAAUAGAUAAAUUUAAGUCAGUUAAUUGCAGUAAUAACCAGCAUCAUUAAUAGUACCUGUGAAACUGAACCCUGUUGUAAGACAGAUCCAAUACUAGUUGCAUUUCCAGCAUUUGCAACAUCACUACUUGCAUUUCCAGCAUCACUAGCUCCAGCAGGCACCUAUUUUAAUGGUAACAAAUUAAGUACAGAUGACAUGAUAAAUAGAAAAGAGACGGUAACACUGAUUACAAAUUAACUACUACUACAAUUUAUCUUAUAAAACUUGGACUUUGGAUGGAUUGGGAAUUUACAAGUCCUAGAAUUAUGUUCUGGCUUAAAACACUUCUUACAGUGCACAGCAAGUCCUUUUCUUGUAGAUAUAGUGCCUCUAACUUCAUCAGUUUCUCUUUUUCUCACUUUCAAUUUUCUAAUCUUUGGAGGAUUCACCUGUUCAGCUCCUUUUGAAUCCCAAUACUCUUCAGAGGGCAUUGCAGCUAUAGUGUAGUUGUAGGUGUUCAAGUAUGCUCCUUUGCUAUAACAAUGAUCAACAUAGCGUUUAGGCUCUGAUUUGUCAUUUUGAAUGACAGCAAUAGAAUGUGAGCAUGGAAUCCCACUUAGUUGUCAUGAUCCACAUGCGCAUAUCCUACAUCUUAUAUCAACAACAUAUCCUCUAGUCUCACAAUCCACUUCAUACCCAGCAUCUCGAGAAUAAUGAGCUAUACAGAACCUACUAUUCAGCUUGUUCUUCUCAAGUCGUUCUUGUAUGUUUGGACAGAGGUUCCCUUGGUACUUUUGCAUGCCUUCCCUUUUCACAUUUAGCCUCUGCAUCAGUUUUCUUUUUAUCCACUCAAACGUGGAGAUGAUUGUAAACUCUCUUGCUGGAAGUAUAAAGAAAUUAAAUGACUCAUUCAAAUUAUUAACAAGAAUAUCACUCUUGCAUGAGGAGCUGAAAUGUGACCUGGACCAUAAAUGUGCAUGAAUCCUAUUUAACCAACCAACUGCAUUCAUAGCUUCUCCAACCUUUGGAUCAACCCUUUCUAAUUCAGUCAUUGCUGUCUUGAAGUCACGAAUGUUCCCAGCAGACGCAGCUGCCUAAAAGUACUCCUUCAACUCCUUUCCCUUGAACUUCUGUUUGAAGUUUUGAUAUAUAUGACGAAGGCAGUACCUAUGCUCUGAUUCAGGAAACACAGCAUCAAUUGCACUGACUAACCCCUUUUGCCUAUCAGAUAUGAAUGUCUAUGGAGCUCUAUUUUCAACACCAAAUUCAGUUUUCAACUCCAUCAAAAACCAUUUCGAUGAGUCAUGUCUCUCGGCUUCCACUACAGCAAUUGCAAUGGGAAACAUGUUAUCAUUGCCAUCCCUACCCAUAGCUGUCAAAAGCUGUCCACCAAAUGAAUUUUUCAAAAAGCAAUCAUCUAAUCCAAUUAUUGGUUGACAACCAGCUAGAAACCCAUUCUUUAUUGCACUUAAACUCCAAUAUAUUCUUUCAAAUGUCGCAACCUCAUUCUCAUCCAGUCUAGCCACUUGCAGGACAAUAUGGCUACCAGGAUUCCGGAUCAACAAGGUAGCAGCAUAAUCUCUGAUGAUAUGAUACUGUCUUAUAUCAUCCUCUUGUAGUGCAUUUUUUGCCAAUCUUUUAGCUCUAUAAGCCUGUCUCAUGCUUAUGUCUACCAUAAUCUCUCUCCUCACAGUUUUGACAAACCCUUCAAUGGAUGAAUUUGGUUCAUCCCUAAACCUGUCUAAAUAUUUUUUGUUCAAAUAUCUUGCAUUUGCAUGAUGUUUGUUGUAUUCUGUUCCACACAUAUGCAUUCCCUUUAUUGAUUUGAUCUAAAAAGUUCUUUCAUUUUGAAUUGGGCUUGCUCAUAUCUUCCAGGAACAACCCUUUUUGCACAUGGCAAUAACUUUUGCUCUUUCAUUUUUUUUGUACUUGAUGGUGUAGCCUUUCCUGACAUUCCAUUUCACAAGUGCUUCUCUAAAGGCCCGUAAGUUCUUAAAUUUAUCCCCAACUUUCACCUCAAAAUCUGAUUUUCUGAACUCAACUGCAGCAUUAAAAUCUCGACAACCAUUACCUUUCCCAUUUCUUUCAUCAUCUCCCCACAUAAUGUCAAGCAGUUCUUCAUCAUCAACAGCAAAUUCAUUCCACUCUUCGUUAGUUUUAGAAUUCUCCCCUUCCUCAAAUUUGUUCUUAGAAGAGCCUGGUAGUUGCAGAUCCUCCAUUGUAUAUGUUUGCUUUGCUGUUGCUGGUUCUUCAUCUAUGCCUUUUGCCUGCUGCUGAUUUUCUAUUUCAUUAGCCUUUGCUCUGUUUGCAAAAAUAUCCUCAUUUCCUGGUCCUUCUAAUAACUUUUUCAACCACUCAGGCUCUUCUAAACUAUUAGAUGUAGUAUCACCGUAAUCAUCUUCGCUUGCAGGCUGUUUUCCAACUUCAUCUUGCUUCUCUACAGCUUUUUCAGCUUUUUCCUUUGCUGAAUUAGCCUCUGCUUUGCUGUGCUUUUUGUUACCAGCUAGUUUGGUAGGUAUUCUCACUGACUUCUUGACUAUUUGUUUCCCCUUUCUGUUUGCUAAUUUUUUAGGGGUAUCUUUAUCAGAUGCCACAUUUUGUGGGGCAUCAGUGGGGGCACUUUUAACAUGACUUUUUACUCUAACCGAAGCAACUUGACUAGACAUUUCAUCACGCAAUUCAACAUAUAUGUUGCAAACAUCUACUCCUUCAUGUGCAGUUAACAUUAACUCUAUUUCUUUAUCUCCUUUGAUUUCAGCUGCUUCAACAUACAACCCACAAUUUGGUAUUUCAAAAUAUAGGUUCACAUUCGGGACAUCACCAUACCUACUAUACAAUUUACACAACAUAUUCUUGGACAAUUUUCUUGUCUCACAAUUUUUAAAUAUGACAACAUUGUUACCAGUAUAGACAGUUUCUGGUUCUCAUAUGAAUAUACCACCAAAAUGCAAUUUUAUAGUAAGUCUUUUUGAAGUUGUCAUUUUUUUCAAACCCUGCAUUAGAAAUAGUGAAACACAUGAUAAGCUAAAAAAAUACAAUCUGAUUAAGAAAUGGACAUUUCAUAUAUUACACACUUCAAUGAAAACACAUGAUUACAAAAAUAUACAAUCUGAUUAAGAAAGGGACAUAUAGCAUAUCGCAUACUUCACUGGACCAUAUGAUGGCCAACAAGCCGACAAGCAAAAAUUAUUCAAUGUCCAAAUUGCCAAAACUUUAUCAGCAACCAAAUCACUCUAUAUUAUUGACAAUCAAGCCACCCAAAAUUGACCCAAAUCUGACACUAAUCAACAUUUCUCAAACUAACAAAACCAUAUUCUACCCAUGUUUAGCUGAAAUUUCGGUGAUUUUACAACUUUCGAAUGCAAUUUUUUUUACCUUAAUCUUAAUGCAUAAGUUCAAUUCUAGUUGAUAAAAUACUCUAUGCUUAAAUAUGAUAAUACAGGUUGUCCCAAAGCAGCAAAAUUUUAAAUUAAUCAACGCUUAAGCAUUAUAAUCACUGAUUUAUUAAAUUUUCAACCGAUAGUUUCUGUUCAAAAUGCUCAAGUGCAUCUUAUAUGCUAAAUUGAUGUAAAAAAAACUUACUAAAUGCAACAAUAGCUUUUGUGAAACUCUUUCAUUGCUACUUUUUGAUCUUCACUGGUAGAUCUAUGGUUUUAAUUUUGUGGAUUAAAUUUUCUUUCCUUCAUUUGGCGGUCAUAUUUUUCUCUCUCUUUCUGACGACAAAGACCAGAGCAAGGGAGAAUCUGAAUUCAUCUGCUUCCUUUUUGUAUUUAUAUUAGGGUAAGUUGGACAUUUUGCCCACGAAUCGUCACGAUUCGUACUUUCCGUCUAUUUGAUAGUUCAACCCAAACCACAGGGGGUCUAUGUAUAAUUUUUUGAAUCAUGGGGGGGGUUAUGUGAUUUUUGCAAAAAUCACAAGGGGUUAAAAUGUAAUUUGUCCUUUUUUUUGUUUGUCACAUUUUACCAAUGUUCUUUUCUUUUUAAAAUUUUCCUCUUAUUUUCUAUUAGAGAGUUCACAUCUUGCUGAAUAUAAGCUUUUCCACUCCCAGUUAGACAGAGGAUCCAAUAGUAUUAGAUUAACCUACAGGAGUAAAAUUCUUAUGAUUAACUAAUGCUUGAUACCCUAUCUGAAAUAGUUACAAUUCAGGAACACUAGGCUUGCGGCAUCAGAAAUAUUACUACUUUACGCAAUACUUCAGAAAUCAUUAUUUUUCUGUCAAUUGCCUUCUGCUUUACUUCUUGAUUUUGGGCCAUGUCACUUUCGACAUAUCAAAAUUGAAUUCCUCGUUUCAAAAAGAAACUUAUAACCCAAAGAAACUUGUUUGACACGGAACUUGUGAGGCCUUAUCCACGUUGCAAUAGAGGAGAUCUUGAUUCAAUGUCUCCUUUUAGUAACAACACAGCAACCAUUAUCCCAACCAAAGUAGCGAUGACACAUGGUCAGACUUCUCCCGGAUUUUAGUGUUUUACCAAUAGUCAUUUAUUUUCAUUUUUCCUAUUUUCUAUCCAGAUUUGUGGGGUAAGAAUUCUUGCUGAAAGAUGGAAAAAGCUUAAGUAUCCUUUCAAGCAAAGGACAAGAAUAUAAGCUUACUUACUAAUGACAAAGUUCGAUAAUCUUUGUCAAUCUUUUCUUUAAUCCUCAGUCUUUGCACGAAAUCAUAGAAAAAUUAUUUGUAAUUAACCUAUGGAUUAUUUUUUGGCCUGAAUUGUAAACGGUCAAAUAUUUUAUAUGUGGUUGGUCCAAUUUAUGUGUCCGGUUUAGUUUGAACCAAGCCAAGCCAUUCAAACGAAGCCAAGGUCGAUUGAUAAUUUUUGUUGUCAAAAUUCGAUAAAUAUUUAAAUUAUUCUAUGGGUGUAAAUGUCCAAGUGAUUAUAGUUUUCACACAUGCCCCUAUUUAAAAUGAUUGUGUCAUAUAAUUGGAUGAAAAUCAGACUACUACUUAUUCCUUUGGUAACUCCCCUAUUAGAAUUAAUGUGUGGCUAUGCCUUAUUAACUGUCACUCUCUUGUAUUGGUUUGUUGGGUGAAAUUGAACUUUAGCCUUUUGCGUCCAGUUUGGCACCUUUUCAAUACAAGCCAUUUAUGAUUUCAAAAAAGGUUAAUUACAAUCAAUUCCCGUUAGGUAUGCAUAAUUCUUAUUUUAUUUCCUAACCUUUUUCCUUUUAUCACUUCACCCCCUUUUAGACCAAGCUACCCUUCUCUUAUUCUAUUUUCUUAUCUUUUCUUUUUCAUUUGUUUUCAUUUUACUUUCCUUUUCGCAUUGUCAAUUUCUUUUUCUUUUUCUUCUUUCUUUAGUCAUUCCAUCCCUAUCUCUAUCAAAUUAUUUUCCUUCCCUCUUGGCUAUCAUUAUUUUCAAAGAAAGAAAAACAAAGCUAUAUUUGAUGGAUUGCCACUUCCAUCACUAGAUCAUUUGCGACUAUAGUUGUCAUCCAUCAAUGCCAUUUCUUACAACCACCAUCGUUACAUUACGUCACCCAUGCUUCAGUUUGGUUAACUUUUUAAAAAAUUAAUCUCUUCAUCUAUCUGAUCCGGAGAAAUUAAUUUAAAUAUAAUGUGCCAUAGAGUUGAGGAAUUUCAACUCUCAAAUUAUAACUUAAAGAAUUGAGAGCUACAAAGUGCAAAAGACAUAAUUGAAUUCCUUUCUAAUCUCUCUAAGUAGAUUCUAUAUCCAUAUCCCGAAAAAUGGGCAUCUAAAAUUCCUUUCUUUUUUCUUUAAUCCACAUAUGUCUUUUUCUGUUUCUUUUUCCCUUUUUUAAUACUUAUGAUUUCUUUUUUAUUAAUUAUUCAUCUAAAGAAAUUGCGGGCUUUGGAAUAAAGAGAUGAUGCCAAGAAGAUAGGAGAGAGAAAAGAGAGAAGACAAGGAAAAAUCAAAAUCAAGAUAAUGGAAGGGCAAUUUUAUCUGAUAUAGGGGAUAAAGUGACACACUUUAAAGGUUAGAGGGUAAAGUGAGGAUCAGAUCAUACCUUAGGGUGAUAGAUUAUAAUAAACCCUUUCAAAAAUUUAUGGAUUAAUCUUUCUUACACUGACAGUAUACACACUGUCAGCGUUAGAUGAAUGACAACUAUGCAAAAUUUGAAUUUGAAAUUUAACUUUUGCAUAUAUGUUAUGAAACAAACGGUGACAGUGCAUAUACUAUCAGUGUAUAUAAGAUUUACUCAAAAUUAUAUGUAACCUUCUAAACUUUAGACUAAAAUAUUAAAUUGAUGAAAAUCUUCUUUAAUAAUGGAGUUAGUACCAAAUUGAUAUUAGCCUAAAGUACAUUUAUGUCCAAAAAAGAUAAUUGAAGACAAAUGAUAUUAGUUUCGAACUUAAUCCAAAAUACAAGACCCUUACAAUUAUUCUUGAGGCAAAAAAAAAAACUCAUUAAAUCUCCAAAAAUGUCAUCUUGUAUAAUCUUUUGUUUUUUUGUAACUAAGUAUUUGAAAUCUACUUGACAAAACUAGUUUCUGAAGUUAAAAUUGCUCUGACAUUGUAUAAUUAGCUCUGGCAAUAACACUGCUCUUAUUAUUAUCAUCAUCAUCUUACUAUUGAUAAAGUAUGAGCACUCUUAAGGUGUUAUGUUAUUUUAAGUUAUUCCUAAUUUAUAAUUAGUUUUAAAUAACUUAUCAUACAACUAAUAACAACUCGCUAAUCACUAUUACCUUUCUUUGUAUGUCCACUUUUCUAUCUCUUAAUUUUUGUUUACUAGAUUGUCUAAAAUAUCUUAAAUUAUAAUAGUAACUAACAAUCAUAUUAUAAAUAAUUAUUGAAUGGAAUCCUUCCGUACAUUUUUAUUUCAUAUUUAUUGUCAAAUUUAAAAUUACUUUUUGUGGAAAUAAUGUAUAUAAACAUUUAUCUAUAAGUUUACUGUAAAUACAGUAUUUCUUACCAACUAGUUGUUAGAAAUAUUAUUGGAUUCUUCUAACAGCUAGGCACUAGCACUGCCAAACUUACCAUACAAAUGCAUACAAUCAUAUUAAUUGCAUUCUCUGCGUUUAGGCUUUUCAAAAUUAAUCACACUCCUUGUCACAAGAAACUAACACUUGAGAACCAUCUUAACCAAACCCGAUAUCAAUUCAAUCUCAUUUGUUAGCCAAACCUAAUAUCAUUAUGGAGAUUCUGAAAUGCGAGUGCAUAAAAUGUUUGUACAUCGAAGAGAUUGCAUGUAUUGUGUUACAAUAUAGUACACAUGCACACACACUACACACAUGUAAUACAUUUGAAAUGGGGGUAGGGUUUGACAGGGAAACAAAAAGAAAACCCUAACAAUCUUGCAAAUCUCUUAGAUGGGCAAGAUUUUUUUAGAAGUAUAUGAUGGUAGGUCAGCUAUUAAUGGUAGAAUUAGGCUUCAAAAUCUGAAAUUGAUGUUAGGAUGGACUCUGAAGCUAUAGAAACUUCCAAAUCUUGAUUUUGUGAUAUCGAGUCAAGAAUUUUGAUUGGUUAGAUCUAAUAGAACUUUAGGUUGUUGUUGUGUUUCAAUUAGUUAGAUCUAAUAGAACUCUAAGUUGUUGAUUUUAUGUUUAAAAGAAUUAGGGAACUUCUGCAUUCAAUUCGAGGGACUAGAAUCCAACUCUUACAAAAACAGAGAAAUUUCUUGAUUUCACCAUAGCUCUGAAGACAACCUUCAAUUUUCAAAUCCAAAAAAUAUUUAGACAAUGACAUAGCUUUUCAAUCAUCCCAAUUUCACAAUUUCGCUCUAGUUUUAUAUUUUUUUUCUUCAGAGUUCUGUAAAUCCAAGUAUCAUGACUAAAUUGGUUGUCAUCUUGAAGAGUUUUGUUUCAUUUCGAAGUUCUGAAAAUCCAAUUAUCAUGAUUAACGUGGUUGUUAUGCUUGAAGAGUCUCGACAAACACAUAACCAAGUGUACUUAGUAACCAGUUUAAUUGUAAUUAGCAUUCAAUCAUAGAGUUUAACUAGAAAUGUCUCGAGAAACACAUAACCAAGUGUAUACUAGUUUAAUUGUAAUUAGCAGUCAAUCUUAGAGUUUAACUAGAAACUAUCCAAAACACGUAAUCACUUAAAUAGCUACUACAUAGCCAAAAGAUACACAUCUAUUAUAAAUGUUAAUCUGCCUUUAAAGUAUUACAUUCACAUUCACAAAUACAAAUGGUGUCAUAAAAAAACUAUAAAUUAAUAAUUAGGAAAUGUAACAAAUUGCUAGAAAAUGCCCAGGUAAGCUGUGUAGAUGAUAACACACAAUUGAUGCAUAAUCUUCGCACAAUUUGCUAUUAAUGAAAGCACAAGCAAAGCUAAGAAACCUACCAAUAUUUCUUCAUAAACCCAGCAAAUUCGAUAGCCUAUAAGUUUGAUGUUCUUUGACAAAUUACAACAUGCACAAGGUUGAAUAUGAAUUCAUAAAUAUAUCAAUGAACUAAGGCUUCUCAUGCAUCAAAUUCACUCUGAUAUACAUUGGCAAUUACCAAAACGCCAAUGAAAACCAUCACCACUAAAGAUCUGUUUGUUUGAACUCAAAAUAUUUUCCUUUACUUUUGCUGUUUGAGUGUAUUGAAAUAGGUAAAAUAUUUUACCCGGAUAAGUUACGCACACCACACACAACAAGAGAAAAGAAUUCACUAGCAAACUAGUGAGUUCACCAUAAACUAGGCACAACCUUCAUAUUUAAAGCCCUUCGUCUUUUUAGCCCUAAUAAUCUCAAAAUUUUUAUUUAUUUCUUUGACUAAAGGGCAUAGAAACGAGGUACUUGGUUGGAGUAGCUUUGAUAGUGGAUGUCAAGCACGCAGCACUGGAUUGGGUUGUGCAUGACAGGAUCAUAUAUAUUGUAGUGCAAAUGUGGCACGACACUGCUGGUCUUGGCUAGUGGAAGGAUGCAAGAUAUUGUAGUGCAAAUGUGGCAAGACAUUGCUGGUGUGCGUGAUUGGCAUGCAUUGGUGGUGUUUUUUGAUCGUGGGAAAAAUAUUGUUCUUCAAGUCAAUUAACCAUUUUUCUAAUAUUAUGGAAAGAAAACUACAAUUCUGAAAAAUCCAUAAUGGAAAGAAAACUAAACUCAUAAUCGACAAAUGUGAGCACCAAAAUUCUUACUUUUUCUAUACCUACAUGCAAAUUAGAACUCCGACCUGCAAAUGAAACUAAAAGUGGAAACAAAAGCUAAAUAAACUUUUCUUUUCUUUUUUUUUUAAUAAUUUUGUAUCUGGAUUUUGGCACUACAUUUUUGUUAAACAAAAGCUUAUUUUUAGCAUAAGUGAAAGGUUUCGAAUUCAGAAUUUGUUAUUUAUAUUCCCUUCCACUGUUCCAUCUAACCCAUGCCAUCCCUUGCUAAACUAAAGCAUAAGUGCACUUAAAAAUGCAUAUUAGAAAGUUCUGUUCUCUUUAUCACUUUCUUUUUUCUAGCUUUUACUCUUGGCAUGAGAUCAUGCAAAUAAUUUGUGGAUAGUGAGAAACUUCCAUCUAGUAACAAAGGUUGAAAUCCCAAAAAUUAGAAAUUAUAGGGCGAUAUACUAUAAUAAACCCUUUCAAAAAUUUAUAUAUAACCUUCUAAACUUUAGACCAAAAUAUGAAAUUGAUGAAAAUCUUUUUCAAUAAAAGAGUUAGUUAAUAUGUCUAAAUUAAAGUACCUUUACUUUGUGUAUCCCUACAUGCAAAUGAAACUAAAAAAAGGAAAUUUGACAGAGUAUCCCUUGUAUUAGAAAUCAUCUAGUAACUAAAAUUGAAAUCCCAAAACUUAGAAAUCGUAGGGCGAUAUACUAUAACAAACCCUUUCAAAAAUUUAUAUGUGACCUUCUAAACAUUAGACCAAAAUAUCAAAUUGAUGAAAAUCUUCUUCAAUAACAGAGUUAGUUAAAAUGUCUAAAGUACCUUUACUUUGCGUAUCCCUACAUGCAAAUGAAACUGAAAAAGGAAAUUUGACAGAGUAUCCAUUAUAUUUUGCCAAAGCGCCCCCAACCCCCCCUUUUUCUCAUAGUUCACGAAACAGAAUAAUUAUGUCAUUCCUGUCAAAUUUAAAAAGAAUAUAAAGACCAGCAUCAAUAGCUUCAAGAAAUUCUUAAUUUCUUUAAAUGUAAGAUCUCUCAUGUUAUUGACUUAGGUGCCAAUAAAAGUGUGGUCAUGUAACCUUAUUGAGCCCAUUCCGAAGGGUAUUCUCUAUCCAACAAGCCGACGGCUUGGGUGUUACAGAGUUUUGUUUAAAGAUUUAGGCAACAGAGAACACAAAAAGAGGUAAAGAGAGGGAAGUGAAAGGUGAGAUAUAAGAAACUUGCUAGUGGACCGUCUUUAUAUUUCCUCUGGACAGCCACAAACAAUCAAAUACAAGAGGAAGUUACUGGUUAGUAAAGACAGGUUACACCAAAAAAAAAAUAAAACGCCAAUAAAUUUGUAAUAUACCUUGUGAUAAUGAUUUUUUUAUCACCUAUUUCAACUCACAUACAGAGUUAUUGAUAUUAAGAUUAAUUUGAAAAGCUUAACUGAAGAAAACAAUAAUGAUAUCCUCACCUACUGUAAACGAAAGAGGAGAGGUUUACGUCUGCUUCAAAUUGAUAUGCCUAUCCCAUUGAGCAGCAAAUAGGGGCUGGCGUACGGAGCAUGGCACAAUUUGCUAGCAUAGCUAAUGGCUUUGAUACAAAAAAAAAAAAGUAAAAUAAAUCAGUAAACAAGUCAUACUCUAAUGAAAUAUAUCAAAUCAAAUGCAAGACAGGACACCUGAUUGACAAAGAUAUCACCACAUUUAACCGUCACUUCCUUCCCAUGAAGGUAAAAAAAUGUGGACAGGCGUCGUCGAUGCAGAAAAAUCUGCAGCUCGUAAGUCGCCAAGCUAGCAGUUUAGGACGACUGUGGUUCAGAAAAACUUUAAUCAUGGGUACGGUCACUCCCAAUACAAAAUGGAAUUCACGGCAUUGCCUAACUUCCAGAUUUUGAAUUGGGAUCACAACUAAAACAUCAAGUUUAAGAUUACCAGCUACGUUCCCUUAAUGCGUUUAAACUAGGGAUUAACAAUUUUUUAAUCGUUUACUAGAAGUAAUAGAAGAAAAUUUGGGAAGCUUAAAUUUGGUGGAAAGCAGUAUGUAUAAUGACCCAUUCAAUCAGAGAAUGCACAAGGAAGGUAGAAAUUCCAUGCAAUCAGAGAAUAUCUUGCUUUAGUCCGAUAAUACUGAUAAUUGUUCUCACACAUUUUCUGACAUGGAAGAUAACAACUGCCGUCAUAGUUUUGAAGCUGUAUUCAGUUUGAGAAAUGAUCUUCCGUUUAAGUAAACUAAGUACAUGGAGGCCGACCCGGGGCGGGGAUAUCCUUACUUAGCCAUCACCGCAAAAACAAUUGCAUGUUCUUUCGAAUGUUCUGGUUUAUGGACCCUGCUCCUGGAAAAAUAGCCAUGUUAUAUAUUUGGGUUGGUAAUUUUUGACACGACUUAAAUACAUGGUACGAAUCUAACACGAAAUUAAUUGGUUUGGAUUAAGGUUUGGCGGGUUCGGAUCAGAAUUGGGUGAAACUCGAUGAACCCGAAAAAAAAAAUAAGUCGAAUUCAUAUUAUCCACAGGACCAUGGGUUGACCCGAUAACCCAUUUAAGCAUUAAAAAGAAUUUAAUAAAUAUAAAAAUAUUUUAUCUAACUAAACUAAGUUAUUCUUUUUUUUUUUUUCCAAAGGCAUUAAUCACUUAAUAACUUGUGUGAAGUUGAAAUUAUUAUAUUUGGACAAAUAACGUAUUAUAUUAUUUUCUAGUUUUAUAGUAUCUUAAUUUAUUUUAGAUCUGAUUUGGGAUAAAACGUUUUUACAUUAUUUUAAUUUAUUUCAAAUCUGAUUUGGGAUUGUUUUAUCGAGAUUUUUGUUACUUGAUUAUAUAAUUAGCCUUGUGUGAAAGUAGUUCUAUUAAAAACUAUAGUGGUAAAUUAGUGAAUUAAAAUUAUAUUUCACGUCAUAUCAGAUCAACUUGAAAUUGAUCUGCCAACCUGAAAUUAAUCUGCCAACCCAAAAAUUUCAGGUUAAGGUCAAGUAUCAGCAGGUUUCUGUUAUACCUGAUCUCAAUCCGACCUGCUAACCCGUUUCUGAUCUGAUUGACCCUCUAUUACAUAUGGGAUACAUGUCCAAAAUUUCCCCUCCAAACAGCAAGCAACAGUAGAACAACCUGUAGUUAAAAAACCAUCAAAGGACCGUAUUUCAAUUCCUGUUCUCUGAAUCUAUCCUUUCUCAGGGCCACGUACCGUACCAACCUGUGCGACAUGACAUGUAAAGUUUGUAAACCCUGCCGUCGCCUUCUUAUUCAGAUGAAGUUAAUCAAAGGGUGCUCCGGAAUCCAAGGGAAAUGAAUCUAGCGUUCCUCUUUCCCAUAGUAUAGCAAUGCUGCUAGUUUUGUAUCUCGAAACAACCAAGUGACUAACCAUUGAAGCAUAUACAGAAAUAGGAGCUUUUCAUGUAUCGAAAACGCCAAAAAAAUACAAAAAAAUCAUGCAUAUCAGAAUUUUUCUUGGAACUGCUUAAAUCUUGGAGGAACCAGAGUUUAAGAAUGACAAAGUUGCCAUCAAAUGUCCGAGGCAUGCGAGGGAAUCUAGAAGUCAGAUAUUACAUCUUCCAAUAUAAGAAGAGCACUCUAAAUAUGCUUCAGUAACAAUUAAUCUAUGGCAAAUCCUUCAUCUCCACGACAGGCGAGUCAUAAAUAGCUCAUUCCAGGCCAGUAACAACUGACGAAGAAGCAGAUUCGGAGCUCAGACCUUGCACCCAUUUAUGCGGACGAAAUUAAGGUGAACUAAGAUGAUAGCUAAGAGAAUAUACUGAAAUAGAAGCUUUUCAUGAAAUAGAGAAUGUCUGUACCAUCAUCUGCUUAAUUUUUCUGACCAAAGUCCUACCAAAAUCACUUCAAGGAUCACUAACCUUUAGAGACAGCAACUAGCUUUUGGUACCUGUAUAUAGAGGAAAGAAAGAAGCUUUUAGUAAAUAAAGAAACCACAUAACGAAAAGGGGAGUGGAAAAAAAAAUGCAUAUAUAAAAGAGGGGUAGGAAUAAUACAAGCAAGUCAUAAGUGACACAUUAGUUUUUCCCUUUUCCAUUAUGUGUCCCUAAAACUUCAGGACUUGAAAGAGUAACCAUCAUCGAUUGUCAAUGGCCUACCCUUGUUUGUUUCUCACAAUCAUGCUCUUAUCAACAAAGAUAAUGGCUACAACCCCUUUGCAGUCAAAUAACAAACAAAUAAGUAGUCUGUUUUUAGGCAAAUUAAACAUCUAACUUCACGAAAAUAGUGAUCAUAGAGGAAGAAACAAAACUACAAUGUUAGGCAUCUUAAUAUCUGAUAAUUUCUGUUCGGACAGGGGAGAUCAAAGCAACAACAGCAAUUAAGUGUGACAACUGACAACUAGAUAAAGGGCACACUUGCCCAUUAUGCAGCUGCAGAAAAAUAAAAUAAUGAAAAAAAUAUUGAAAUACCAUUCAUAUGCAAAUUAAUCUAUCAAUGGACUCACAAUUAUCCACAGAAAAGAAAAAAAAAAUGGCAUGUAUAUCUCCUAGUCUACCGAAUAUUGUGUCUCGGAACAUAAAUGACAACUAAACUAAAUCUAUAAAGCUGUCAGUGGCAAAUCCGCAAAACUUAAAACUCCUGAAUAGCAAAAUCAUACCUCAUUUUCCUGGACCUUGAUGGUAGAUGCCUGAAUUGAGACUGGCCACAGGGGAAGCAUGAAGCGGUAGACAAAACACCAUUGGAUUUCCUUUCUCAAAGUUGCAUUAUCCGUUGGUAAAGUGACAUUAUCAUCCAGCUCUAGCAAUUGUUGACUUUGAUAAUCAUAGGAGAGAAAGCUUCCUUCAUACCCAAGAUACACAGUAUCAGAAUCAAAUGGGUGAAAAGCUAUUGGCACCAAACGUGAUGAACGAAGAUAAGAACUAUCACAUGCAGCUUCCCUUAGGUUGACACGGUGCUCCAAUAACCAAAGCCCUUCCUCAUAGUCACUGAGCGUCCACAUACUUACCCUAUAUCCAUCAUUAUAAGCAUUAGAGCCUACAAAAAAUCUCAAAUGCCCAUGAUGGACAUCAAAGAGUAUACCUUUUGUAUCAACGCUUUUGCUCCAUUCUCUGUCUAUGUCCCCCGGAAGUUGUAUAAUCCGAUAAGAAUGAGGACCUUUAUAAGGAUCAUAAGCUAAAAUUCCAAGUUUCCUAUCCAUAAAAUGCAAUAUUUCUUUUAAAACAACAGGCAUCUUCCAGAGAGGGAAAAGUUGAAGUACUUGCUGAAAAGGAAUUUCAAUAUCCCUCCAUUCACCAGUUUCAGAAGAGAAUAUAUCAAGCUUGAGGAUGCUGGUUCUUCCCCCACCAUCUUCAAGUCGUAUUACUUUGUAACUAGUGACAACACUGUGUUUCACCUGGCUGAUGAACCCUACACAGCAAUGAGCAAAGGGACGCUUUGAUGGUGGAAUUUCAACAUACUGCUUAGUGAUGGGAUUCAGAAUAUAAUACCGACCAAAAUCCCACCCGGAAUUUGAGCCACAUAACAAUAGCCCGUUACCGUCCAUGGCAAUAAUGUGAUCAAGUAUUCCGUAUACAUCAGUUCCAUGAGUCUGUGCGGAAGGAGGAAGAUCAGACUUGGUAAGACAGGCUACACCGACAUCAUUUGAAAAUAAAUUCCUGAAAAACCCGUGCUCAUGACGAAUUUCUUCCCCAUGUAUACAUUUAUAAAGAAGAGUCCAGAGUUUUGGUUGUGCAGCCGUAAAUGGUGAUGCAAUUCUUGAAACAAAAGCAUGUCCAAAGGAAGGAGCGUCAAUCAGGGAGCGCCAUUGUUUGCAGACGCACUUGCAUCUAAAGACACACUUCAUUGGCAAACGGAUAAGCAAUUCAACCACCACCGAUUCUGGAAUAUAAGGUAAACCUGACCUCGAAGCUAAUCCAGUACCACAUUCUCUACCACUAUCCAUCUCCGCCGGCGGAGGAACGGGACUACAAUCCCAGAUGCUGUCUUCUUACUCGAACUAGAGGAUUUAGAUGAUUUUAUGGGGCCCGUCGAUUUGCAGUUCCACGCAAAAUGCAAGGCACGGCUCUAAUUCUCACUUUUUGAUGAUUGAUGGCAUGGCAUCCAAAAAGCCUCCUAUGGACUGCAAGUUGCGGCAAGCCGAGAAGGGAAGACAUUAUACACAGUUUCGAUUGUUUUUCUCAUUAUAGGAAAAGCCGCCACGAUCAGUUUGUUACUUUGUCGGGUAGGGCACAUUUAUGUGUUUUUGGGUUUGUUUGGUUGCUGACAUAUAUAUAUACUAGUUGAGGUUGGCUGUGCCAUGCACGGUCAGUGCCCAUCCAAAAGCUUUCAAUUGCAAUCUUAAUUUUGGAAAAAUAUAAUGAAUUGUUUGUACCUAUUUAUUUUAAUAUGCAGCCUUUGUUUAAUUUUUGAGCUAAUUAUCAUCAAAAUGUCUCUUUUUUAGUUUUUCUUAAGUACCUAUAUAUAUAUAGUUGGGUAAUUGCAGAUAACUUUAUUAUUUUUAACUAACAAUUAUGAAAAUCAACCAACGUCAAAGCAAGAUAAAGCAAUAAGAAAGACUAACAGGAAAAAGUACGUUAAAUAACCCACCAAGAUUUCUUUCAGUUUAAUCGUUAAACUUAAUAAUUAAUCAAAAGUGUUGGAAACAUAUACAAUGAUACUGUUAAAGCUUAUACAUCAUUUUUGAGUUAUGGUCCAGUUGUUUGCAAUUAAAGUCAUCAAACUAUAGCUGAUUAACCGAUAAGAAACUCCACUGAAAAUAAUUGCCUAAGUAACAUUUAAUCAGGCAAUAAAUAGGCAAGUUUCCAGUAGUAUGAUAAACUUGGCUAGGAGCAAUUAAAAAACUCAAUGUGGCCGAAACUGAACUAAAUUCUACAAAACAGAGGCAUCAAACAUUUCAGAAAACAUUCUCUUAGCAUGCUAACAAAUGGCUGAAUAAGUAUAGUAACAAAGAAACAACGCAAAUAAAAUCUUACCAAGCAAGAAAAGGAAUGAGAAGGAAGAAAAACAAGAAAAGCUUUUAAGCUUAAUCUAGUUGAUAUGUUUCCUAUUAUAAAGAUUUACAUCUAAAAAAAGAGUCAAUAAUAAGUAAAUUAACCCAUUGCUUUUGGCUCUAAUAUAAUGGUGGAGGUAUGAUAAAAUUAAAGCACAGCUAAUAGUUGAUCGCAUGGCAAGUAUUUUUACAAAGUACAAUCUAACUUCAAGAGAAAUAGCAAACAUUCAAUCACAUUAGGUAAUUCAAGGCAGUAGAACAACAAAACAUGAUCUGUAUUAUCAUCCUAUGCAAGAAGAAGAGAAAAAUUAAUCCAAGGACAACGUUUGCAAAAUGAUGGUCAAAGGUUUUAAACUUUAGCAAAGUGCGCCAUAAAGCUGUGUGUUAACUUUACAAUCGAGUGGUAACUAAGAACAUAACGGUUGAUAAAUGAAAAUUCACCAAUAAAGAAGAAUUAAUUUUAUAAAACAAAAAGAAAAAUAAAAAGGUUCUCUUUCUUUUAUUUAUUUAUUUCAGGGAAAAUCAUUCAAAACUUCCCUCACAUUUUGUAAAUUGACUUCGUUUAUCACUUUUAAAAGUAUAUUUUUACGUCCUUCACAAAUUCAUAUUGAUUAAAUUUGGUCCCUAUCUAGGUUUCCGACUAGUUUUUUGUCGGAAUCAAUCACGUGCAAGGCACGUGAUUAUUUUUUAAAAGCAAAUUGUCAAAUCAAAAUUUAUAUAAUUCGAUCCAUAGUCCCUCACAUUUUACAAAAUAAAUUUUUUUAUCCCUCACAUUUCACAAAAUAAAUUUUUCAUCCGUCAUUGAUCAUGUGUAUGAAUAACAUUUUUUUAAACUAAUAUAUAUAUUUAUUUGAUUUCACCUGAACAAUGCGAAUGGCAUGUAAUAUAUCUCCAUUUGAUUUCGUCUGAACGUACUAUUCAGGUGAAAUUAAAAAUAAAUAUAUACAGGGGUUUAAAAAAAUUGUUAGUUUUUCACUCAUGUUCAUUCCUUUUACUCAAAAAUUGAAAAAAAAAAAAGAAAACAUUUAAUUCUAAAUAUUAUCCAGUGUUUAUAUCGAAUUAAAUUUUGACAGAAAAAAUAAACAAAGAAAAAGUAUGAUAAAAAGAAGUAAGUGAAUGACACUUUUAAAUUUUAAGAUAAUCAUAAGACAAAAAAUUCAACUAUUGGUCUUAAAGGUAGUAAGUAAAAAUUUCAAAUUUAAACUGCAAUUUGUUAGUAUGACUAUAGAAUUAUUCGAAUUAAUACCGAUUAAUUAGAUGGUCUUAUUACACAACUCAAUAAAUGAAUUAUUAUUAAAAUAGAAAAGGCUACAAAUAUUGAAUAGAUUUACAUGGUAAAAUCAAAUAUAUAUAUAUAUAUAUAUAUAUGGGUUUAAAACAAAAUUGUUAGAUUUAAACCCAUGUAUAUAUCUAUUGAAUAGCAUAUGUACAACUACAAUUAGUCUGUUUAGGUGAAAUCAAAUAGAGAUAUAUUACAUGCUAUUCGUACUGUUCAGGUGAAAUCAAAUAGAUAUAAACAUGGAUUUCUUUUUUAAAAAAUUAUCUGUACACAUGGCAAUGGGAGAAAAAAAAAUUUUAUUUUGUAAAAUGUAAGGGACGAAACAAUUUAUUAUGUGAAAUGUAAUGGACUAUAGAUGGAUUAUGUAAAUUUUGAUUUGAUAAUUUUGCCCCUAAAAAAUGAUCACCUGCAAGCCACGUGAUGAAUUCCGGCAAAACAUUAGUCAGAAAUCUAGGUAAGGAUCAAAUUUGACUAAUGUGAAUUUGUAAGAAGCAUAAAAUUACACUUUCAAAAGUGAGUGACAAAAAAAGUCAUUUUACAAAAUGUGAGGGACGUUUUGAACGAUUUUCCUUUUUUUCAACACUAAAAUAUCACUUUUAUUAAAUUUGUUUUCUCAAACAGAUAAGAUAGUUAUAUUUACUCUCUAAAUAAAUAAGGUUGCAUUUAUAAUUUUAAUUUAAUACUAUACACAAAUUAUAAAUAAAGCUACAUUUACACUAAGACUCGCUAAUUUUUUUCUUUUUUCUUUGAUCAUGAGAGCAUAAAAUGUGCCUUUUCUCUCAUCGCAAAAAUAUAAAUUUUGACAGUUUCUUUAAUAGUGGAUUUACAACCAUAGUUGUUAGCCCUUUGCUUCAAUCCAAUUAUAAUGCUACGGAAUAAAUUAUCUUAAUGUAUGCUCUAUUCUAUGAUUACAAAGAUAUAAUUUCUCGGUGUUUUUUUUUUCUCUAAAUCUCAAACAACAAAAAAUCUACAAAAGUAAAAUAAAACUAAAGCACAAAUUCUCACAAUGAUACCCUCAUAUUUCUUUUUAAAUAAAUAACCUUGCAUUUACAUUUAGAGUUGUUAGGCUCCGUAUUUAAUUUUAAUGCUCUACGUUAACUAUAUAAUAAAUUUCACCCAUUUAUUUAUAUGCACAAACCAAUACACAAACAAGAAAAACAAUAAAUUAGCACUACAAUUUGUCGGAUUUACUAUUGCCUUUUCCUUGGUAGCAUUUGGUUAGACUGUCUUUUCUGUCAUCAUACUUCAUAUCACAUGAUUAUUCCAUAGCCCAAAUUUUAUAGCCCACAUGAACAUUGUAUUCUUUAUUCUCACAUUGGGGAUAUUGCAUUUGUUUUUAAUUUUGUUCAUAAAGGUUGAAUUAUUUCUGCAAAUGGGGUAUAUAAUUCAAGGGCCAAGAGGUUGAUGAACUUUCUUUGUAUUACAUUUACAACUUUAAGAAUUUAGACACUGCACAUAAUAAACAAUUUCUUUUAAAUUUUAUUCAUGUGUUUUAUGGUCUUGCGUCUUGACAAGUAAAAACAGCAAGUCAUGAUUUAUCAUAUUAAAGCCCAAUUAUCGUUUUUUUCAAAGUCGCUUAUAUUUUUCAAAACUCAAUGUGCCAUUUCACCAGCUGAAAACUUAUUUAUCAUAGUAGCUUAGUGCUCUGGCCAACUAGGGAUUACAGGGGAAAAAACCUAUGAGAGAAGGCUUUGGGGAAUUAUCUAUUUUGGUUUGGAAAAAAGGAAAUAUAUAUAUAUAUAUAUAUAUAUAUAUAUAUAUAUAUAUAUAUAUAUAUAUAUAUAUUCACUCAUUAAAAAUCCCAAAAUCAAAACACUCUGCCUCUACCUUAUGAAACAAAUUUAAAGGAGAUUCAAACUCUUAUCCACUCCUCACUAAUCUUAGGAUCUGUCACGAGAAUUUCAAAUCGUAAGACCUAAUAUGAUUCCGUAGAGAAAACUUAAAUCAUUUCAAUGAAGAGCAAAAUAAGACUUCAAAUUCAAGAUCUUCUUCAGGACCCGUCUCCCCCCUUUCUUUCUCCAAAAGAAAAUUUCUAAAAAGAAAAAGGAAAAUAUGAUAAGACGCGGUUCCAACCAAAACAAGGGAUCUGGAUGCCCAUUAACCCCAAUGAAGAAGACAAGACAAGGUUCAGGAUUCUAGCCUUAAAUCAGACGCAUGCUAAAUACGAUAUUCUAUCCAACGUUUGAAAGAAAUCUUUCAAAAUGGAGAAGUGAGAACGACAAGACACAGUAAGAAAUAUCAAGCCUUACGUUUCAGCCGAGAAAACAAUUGACUUUAUAUUUGAGUUACAUCUAGUCAAAAUUAACCAAUAAUCAGGUGGGGCAAAAUAAAGAUGAAAACUGAAUCCCUAUACUCGCUGGUUCUUCAAUUUCUUUCUAUGCUGAGCAGAUCAUGGCAAAGAUAGGAAUUGAUAAUAUAAAUUAUAUUGCAUCUUAAGAUGCUCUCCAACACAGUAUCAAAGACAUGAAAACUCCACCCAGUCGCCAGGAGAAGCUAAAAGGACUAAUGGCAAGCAACAAGUAUGAACAAAUUCCAGUAAACUCAAACAUUGACACAUCUAUGUCAUGUCAUGUCAUGCCAUGCCAAAAUAUCUUCCAACAUUUUUUUAAAUAGAGUCAAAUGUACAAACAUAAUCAUCU